rnacentral:lncRNA from 1 species
AGUUCACCAAAAAUUUUAAGAAUACACACAAACUUAGAAAGCAAAACAUAAACAACAACAAGACCCAAUGCUUUUUCAGGCUCUCUAAGAACCACUGUGAUGAGCUAAUAGUCCCCAAAGAAGAAAGUAGUUGCCCUUUUAUUUGACACAAGACAUCAACCACACACCAAAGUGGAACUGUCUCCACAGGGAUACUCUAGCCUUCUGCGAACCCUGACACUGGGUGUAAACCCACACUGCCCUUGUCUGCAGAGCCCCGCAUGGGGAGCCCCUCCCAGCUCCUCCAAACUGAGGAGGAAGAAACACCCAGUCACGAGGUCAUCUGUCUGGUCUGAGGAACACCAGGAGAUGAUCUUGACAAGCCCAGGAAUCCCACUGAGUUCCUUAAACCCCCCAAAUAGCAAGGCCUGUGUGGACACCAAGGCAGCAGCCUCAGCUCAGAAGUAGCAGUCGAAGACUCUGGUGCCUGACACCCAUAUAAACUGAAGUAACUGAUUAAACUUCAUUGCUUCAUAGCAAGUCCCUCCAGAACUCUGUGGGAAGAAGUGUCUCCCAACACGAGCAUAAAUGGACAUGGCUCAGGUGAAGGUGCUGGCAAGAUGAGGCCCAUCAGAGAAGGCCAACAGCAUGGGCCACGCAGUCCUGUAAGGCAGGAACACCAGCUAGCUGGUCCUCCCUAGUGGAGGGGAGCCGCCUCCUUGACUACAGCUCAAGGCAUAUCAGGAUACUGGGUAUUCACAUUACUUUUCCAGGGAAGCCCCCUCCCAGCUCCUUCUCCAGUUUCCAAGAUUCCUACCCUAUUUCCCAGGAUGGUUUCCCUGUUAGGUGAUGGGACGGCUGCCGGAUGUCCUGGCCUGGGCAUCCUCUCCCUCCAGAGAAAUCAAAGGGCAGAACUUCAAGACAUGCAGGUAGCUCUUGAGAACAAGGAGACGAAGGGAGGAAAGCCAGAGAGGAAGAGAAAAAGAAAAGGAGAGUGCACAUGGGUAACAAACGAACAAGAGGGAGGCUGGGGAACCAUGAGCUGAGGGAGCAAGGAAAGGAACAGACACGUCUGCCAACUGUGUGUGUGGGUGGACAGGAACAUGGAGCUCUGGCCUGUCCAUGGAGUUCAGCUGUCCCCCUACCCAGCAACUCAGCACCAGACAUCGUAGGGCUUGAUCUAUGUUGUAACCAAGCCUACUUCUUUAAAGUAGCCAGGCCCCAGGGCUUGCCCAUCCCAUCAUGCAGCAUAGCCCUGAAAGGCCUUUCAGGGACAGGAAGGAACUCAUUGUCCCUCUUACAAAGCUCCGCAGAGCUGAAAGCUUCUGGAAUCCCUCCACUUGGCUGGGCCCACAGACACUACUCUUCUGUCCAGCAUCUGGCAGAGGCCCCAGUGGACGUCAGGGAGAACAGCCCCUCCCCACCACUGCCACCACCCUCCACGCAGACCAAACCCACAAGAAUCCAACCUUGUUCCAUAUGAGCCAGCAGCUCUCUUCCAAGCUGGCAUCCCCUUUCAUUGGCACUAGGACAACGUGCCAGGCCGUGUGCAGGAUGCACCGGAGGACUCAAAGAUGAGUGAGACACAGUCUCUGCCAUCAUCGACAGCACCAGGGCUGUGCCUGGGUCACAGUCAACUCUGUAACUCCUCCCAUGCCCUCAAGAAAACAGUUUCCCUAUAGUUCUCAGGAAGCACAGCUUUUCCAAAAGGAAAAAAGUCCACUGUGUCUAAUGCACAGAGAUGCAUGUGUGAACCUGGAGGUCAAAGAUCA